GGAGAGAUGACUGAGUGGACGAAGGUGAUGGUUUGCUAAAUCAAUGUACGUUAGUAUCGUACCACGGGUUCGAAUCCCGUUCUCUCCU
rnacentral:tRNA from 1 species